ACUAAGCGGAGGAAAAGAAACUAACUAGGAUGGCCUCAGUAACAGCGAGUGAAGCGGCCAGAGCCCAAGAUGGUAAUCUCCACGCUGCGCGUGGCGAAUUGUAAUCUAGAGAGUUCAUGCUCAAUGUGAGGCGGCGCAGAAGCUCCUGGAAUGGAGCGCCAUAGAGGGUGAUAGUCCCGUACGUGGUGCCGCCUCUAAACGAGCUGGGCUUCGAAGAGUCGGGUUGUUUUGUAUUGCAGCCCUAAGUGGGAGAUAAACUUCUUCUAAGGCUAAAUAUAUGUGGGAAACCGAUAGCGAACAAGUACUGUGAAGGAAAGAUGAAAAGCACUUUGGAAAGAGAGUCAAAAGACCUGAAACCGUUGAGGAGGAAGCGGUAGAGAUGAAUUCUACGGCAGUUAGCUGAAAACUCAGUCAAAGCAUCAUGAGUGGAGGUACGUCAAAGGCCUUGCGGAGUGCAUGUGGAAACUGAUAAUUUGCUGAAUGUCGUGAGGCCGGAUGGGGUGACGUGAUCACAAAGGCCUAGCAGGCUUGGGGCUUUCGGGCUCAGCCUGUUGGUGCUGGUGACUGCGUGGCCUGAGGGUGCCUUGUGCGAUCCGGUCAAAAUGGUCUUUACCGACUCGUCUGAA
rnacentral:rRNA from 1 species